rnacentral:rRNA from 1 species
AGCAGUCGCCACGGUAAUACGUAGGUCCCGAGCGUUGUCCGGAUUUAUUGGGCGUAAAGCGAGCGCAGGCGGUUAGAUAAGUCUGAAGUUAAAGGCUGUGGCUUAACCAUAGUACGCUUUGGAAACUGUUUAACUUGAGUGCAAGAGGGGAGAGUGGAACUCCAUGUGUAGCGGUGAAAUGCGUAGAUAUAUGGAGGAACACCGGUGGCGAAAGCGGCUCUCUGGCUUGUAACUGACGCUGAGGCUCGAAAGCGUGGGGAGCAAACAGGAUUAGAUACCCGGGUAGUCCCUGUCUCUUAUACA